AAAAAAUAAUUAUAAAUAUUAAUUACAAAAAAAAUUUACAAAUAAUUUAUGGAUCACAAUUAAAUUCGUAUAAAUCACAUACUAACUUAUUUCGCCAAUUCUAUAUCCAUGACUGGUUGAUUCCAUCAACCUUAUGUGCUAUACUCAAAAAUUCUACAUAUUUGAUUGCGAAAAUCUCACAGUCGCCCCUGCAAAUGAAUAAAUAUGUGUUAAUUCGGUUCCAAUUAUGUACGGACUGAUUACUAAAUUUUAAAAAAAAAUACAAAGACUUACGAUAUAGACUGUCUCACCAGCCGUUGUGUCUCGCACGAUGACUAGUUUGUCAUCCACAGUAAAGCCCGUAUGUCUAGCCAUCAUAGGAACGAUCACAGUCACCAGCUCUAAGUUUUGUUCGAGCUGUCCCUGUCUCAGACAUGAAUAAUCGGGGUAGUACACAUAGAUUUUCGAAUCAGGGAACACGAUCUUUAN
rnacentral:lncRNA from 1 species